GAGGGUAUAGCUCAGUGGUAAAGCACAUGCUUAGAAUGCACAAGGUGCUGGGUUCAAUCUCCAGUACCUCCA
rnacentral:tRNA from 1 species